rnacentral:lncRNA from 1 species
GGAAAAGGGCUGAGGGGGUAGGGGUAUAAAAAUCAGAUAGCUCAGCACUUGGCUCCAAAGUAGCUGAAGUAGAGAGGAUUCCACUGCGUGUAUGUUUUCCCUUUCACGUCUCACUUUUGUUCUCUGCCAUCAGGAAAUGCAGUAGACAUUUGUCACCAGCAGCUCUUUGGAGACUUCAAUGUUCCUUCCUCCCAGGAUCCGAAAGGGGACUUCAGACACGAUCAGGCAAAUACUGAAGAGAUCAGAGCCAAGUUCUAAAGGGCAGCCAUUUCCCAAAUGUCAACCAAGAGCGAAGCCAAGAGAAUUAUGAUUUCCUGGCUAUACAAUCACAGGAAAAGCCUGAUCAAAGCUGGAGUGCAAGUUAAAAAGUGUAAGGUACUCAAGUGCUAGGGUCUGUGUCCAAGCCCAAUCAAUUGAUCAUUAGUUGUUUUUAACUUCAACGUUUCUUUUGCAACAGCACCUCUUCCUUAAAGUAGCAAUCUUAGCAGACUGCCACCUUACAUGAUGCAUCUUAUUCUCCAAGGACAAUGAAGACUGAACUAUCGCACAUUACCUAAGAAAGAUGGGAACUGACAUGCACAUCACAAUUGUAUACACAACAG